UCUAAGGUGACUGCCGGCUAAAAGUCGGAGGAAGGUGGGAUGACGUCAAGUCAGCAUGGCCUUUAUGUCCUGGGCUACACGCACGCUACAAUGGCCAACACAAUAGGUUGCUAAGCCGCGAGGUGGAGGCCAAUCCUCAAAAGUUGGCCUCAGUUCAGAUUGCAGGCUGCAACCCGCCUGCAUGAAGAUGGAGUUGCUAGUAACCGCAGGUCAGCUAUACUGCGGUGAAUACCGGUUCCCGGGCUU
rnacentral:rRNA from 1 species